GUCUAUGGCCGCGCCAUCCUGAACAAGCCCAAUCCGGUCUGAUCUCGGAAGCUAAGCAGGGUUGGGCCUGGUUAGUACUUGGAUGGGAGACCACCUAGGAAGACCAGGUACUGUAGGCA
rnacentral:rRNA from 1 species